AAGAUUCAUCCUUCCAUAGCAUCGGGUAACCAUACGUGAAGAGGGAAUUGUGCGGAUUUCGCAACUGCACCAAGGAAUAAUAAAAAAGCACACAAAGUAGUAAGUAAAGAGUUAAUUCCAUUAUUAGGAAUCUAGUUAUUAGCUAUUUUGAACAAAUCCCUAAACUCUAAACUACCUGUUAUCCAAAAAAACCCUAAAAUUCCUAAUAAUAGACCAAAAUCCCCUACAUGAUUAGUUACAAAAGCUUUUUGCCAAAUAGCUAAAAAACGAUAGUUUUGGUUUACUAGAACCAUCCGCAUAUUGUUUCAGCUCGGUGGAAACCCAAUUCUUUUCCUAUUGCUAUAUGAAAAGAAGUGGAGUUUGAAAAAGGGAACGGAAUGCUCAAACCGGAACUGCCAGGAGGUUUGCCUAGAAGCAGCCACCCUUUAAAGAGUGCGUAAUAGCUCACUGAUCGAGCGCCCUUGUGCUGAAGAUGAACGGGGCUAAGCGAUCUGCCGAAGCUGUGGGAUGUCAAAAUGCAUUGGUAGAGGAGCGUUCCGCCUUAGAGGGAAGCAACCGCGAAAGCGGGGGCCGACGAAGCGGAAGCGAGAAUGUUGGCUUGAGUAACGAAAACAUUGGUGAGAAUCCAAUGCCCCGAAAACCCAAGGUUUCCUCCGCAAGGUUCGUCCAUGGAGGGUGAGUCAGGGCCUAAGAUCAGGCCACCUGUUACUACGAACUUGUUUUCAUCUGGCAGAUAAGCUUUUGAGAAGAGACCACUUUGAUGGGGUAUUGGCCAUGGACUUAAAGAUAUUUUGGAGGCUCACAAGGGCCCAUUUACAGGACAAGGCCAUAAGGGUCUUUAUGAAAUCU
rnacentral:ncRNA from 1 species